rnacentral:lncRNA from 1 species
UCCUACGCAAAGCCCCAUGACCUCCUCCGCCAUAAUGCGCCUGCAGUACCCAAGGUCUCUGUGGUGCUCUGAAUGCCCCAACUCCCCUAGCUCUAUGUUACGAUCCCCCUCCUCGUUAAGUAAUUCUCGAAAGUACGCCUGCCACCUCUGCUUUACUUGAUACUCCCCCAUCAGAACUCUACCAUCCUCGCCCUUGAUGCACCUAACUUGGUCA